CGGAGGGUGCGAGCGUUGUCCGGAAUCACUGGGCUUAAAGGGUGCGUAGGCGGCGCUGCAAGUGCCUUGUGAAAUCCCAUCGCUUAACGAUGGAACUGCUCGGUAGACUGCAGUGCUUGAGGUUGGUAGGGGCUGCCGGAACUCUAGGUGGAGCGGUGAAAUGCGUAGAUAUCUAGAGGAACGCCCAAGGCGAAGGCAGGCAGCUGGGCCAAUUCUGACGCUGAGGCACGAAAGCGUGGGGAGCAAACGGG
rnacentral:rRNA from 1 species